GCAUGAUGCUGUUUGUCCCCACUCCUCCAGCUCUGCCUACCCGGACUGGUGCCAGCACCAAGGCAGGCCAACUGGAAAAAGGAGCUAAAGCCUUCCCCUGCCUUUCAUGUUUGGGCUAUAGCUACAAAGGUAUUUCAGACGUGACUCCCAAUGUUUCCUUGAGCUGCACUGUUAUUACAGAAAGAUCGUCCUUGGUAUAGCAGAUUUUUACUGAUUCAGCUACUCUAUGGGUUAAUCAGUCAUACUGACUCUGAAAAUAAAACUCAUUAGCAAAUUUGUUCAAGAGCUUGUAUGGAAGUGAGGACAAAGGGGAACGGUAAGAAUUAGGCUGAGGUUUGUAACAGUUUCUUUUCUGGAAUGACUCCGUUUCAGAGGUUAUAAGGAGCAAGACCAGUCCAAGAAGAAAUGAAGGCUGAAACUAAAGACAAAACUUGAAGGCUCAGCAGGCAGCUGAAGGAAGAUUGGGCUAAAGGACAACUGUGUAUCCUGCAGUCUGUAUACAGAUUUGAAAUCUGCUUUGGACAUCUGCAGCACACAGUUUGGCAGAUCUUGGGACUUUGCCUUGUGGCAGAAAAUGCCAAAAAGGAAUGCAAGAUUAAUUCUACUCAUGGCUGCCGCAGCACCUUAAUCUGUGUGUGUCUGGGUGAAGAAUACUGUGUUCAACUUCCCUUUCCUGGAUGUUGCACUGUGUUGAUCACUGCCCUGCCUCUGCAAAUCCUAUUUGAAAAUCUCAUUUGCAGCAUAACUGACAACAAAGGCGUUACAUGGUGUAUGCCCUGCAUAUUCUGCAGACUACUCCUUGUCUUUUUUCAUAUGCAAAGCAUGCAUCAGCCACAUCCAUGCUAUCUCCUAAAGCAGCCAUUCUGAAACCCAAUCUGGGGACAGUGCAGACUAAAUAAAAUUUCAUUUUGAUUUGGCCUCCCGCUGAGA
rnacentral:lncRNA from 1 species